CUUCAUUGAAAUUGUAAUGGAGAGUUUAAUUCUGAUUAUUGGAAAGCUUUAAAGUUCAAUGCGGCUGUCUUAUUUUAUAUUUCAAUUUAUUAUAAAUUAUUAUGUAUAUGAUAACAUACAAUUUAAUUAACUUUGUGGAAUAAAAUACAAUAGAUGCUUUGAAUAUUAUCCAUUAAAAAGAUUUAUAUUCACCGGUUCAGACUAAAUUAAAACAUCUAGUUUCUAGUUUGGCUCCGUAGUAAUUUUGCCGAGUGCCGCUAGUAGUACCAAAACUGGCGCUAUGCAUUCAUAGUUUAGAUAUGUAGGAGCGAUACUUGUAUGUAAACAAAUCUUUUGUUGCGUUCAGCGAACGUAUCGCGCAAUACUGAUAGUGACCUCGUGUUGUCGCUGUUAACUGUGUGCAGUUCGGCGCAGAUGCUGUUCCAUUUCGGCCGUCGGAUGAAUCGCGCGUGUGCAUCGCGACUAAUCCUAUUUCUUCAGAUCAUAAUUACUUGUUCAUAAAUUAACGGCAUAUACAAGAAUCAGGCGUGACUAGGGUUCUACAAGUGUGAUGGCUCGCGUGGAGUGUUUAUCAAUCGCGGAUUCAUUUUCGGAUUACCUCUGCGCGCAUGUGUCCGCCGAUAUUCCGCCGGCAUUAGGCAAUACUGGUACCCAGGGACAAAGUUUGUGAGUGCCCAAACCAUGGCAAUAUCUAAAGCGGUGUUGGAGAUGCGCGUAUUUUAAGGUAAGUCUUCACUUCUGCAGUAUCUUCGUACUGUUGAUAUUUGUUUAUUUAACAUAAUGUAUCUGCUGUUAAAUACUGUCAAUAAAGCACAUGUAAAAUUA